GCAUUGGCAGUUGGGUGGUAGAAUUCUUGCCUGCCACCCGGGAGGCCUGGGUUCGCUUCCCAGCCAAUGCA
rnacentral:tRNA from 1 species